GACGAACGCUGGCGGCGUGCCUAACACAUGCAAGUCGAACGGAAAGGCCGUGCUUUUGUGCUCUGCUCGAGUGGCGAACGGGUGAGUAACACGUGAGUAACCUGCCCUUGACUUUGGGAUAACUUCAGGAAACUGGAGCUAAUACCGGAUAGGAGCUGCUGUUGCAUGGUGGGGGUUGGAAAGUUUCGGCGGUGUGGGUUGGAUUCGCGGCUUAUGAGCUUGUUAGUGGGGGAGUGGCUUACCCAGGCUUUGACGGGUAGACGGCAUGAGAAGGGGACCAGGCACAAGGGGACUGAGAGACGGCCCAGAGUGCUACGGGAGGCAGCAGGGGGAAAUAUUACACAAUGGGCGGGAGCCGGAGACAGCGACGCCGCGUGCGGGAAGACGGCCUGCUGGUAGUAAACCGCUGGCGGCUGUGACGAAGCGGGAGUGACGGUAAUGAAUAAAGAAGCACCGGCUAACUACGUG
rnacentral:rRNA from 1 species